rnacentral:rRNA from 1 species
GAGUUUGAUCCUGGCUCAGAACGAACGCUGGCGGCAGGCUUAACACAUGCAAGUCGAACGGACGUAGCAAUACGUUAGUGGCGCACGGGUGAGUAACGCGUGGAUAUCUGCCUUUUGGUUCGGGAUAACCUUGGGAAACUAGGGCUAAUACCGAAUGGUUCCUACGGGAUAAAGAUUUAUCGCCAAAAGAUGAGUCCGCGUCCGAUUAGCUAGUUGGCGGGGUAACGGCCCACCAAGGCGACGAUCGGUAGCUGGUCUGAGAGGACGAUCAGCCACACUGGGACUGAGACACGGCCCAGACUCCUACGGGAGGCAGCAGUGGGGAAUAUUGGACAAUGGGGGCAACCCUGAUCCAGCCAUGCCGCGUGAGUGAUGAAGGCCUUCGGGUUGU